GCGUUACCUGGGCGGGCCGCGCCCGGCUCCGGUUGUGCCGGCGCCCGCGGGUAGCGCUCCGAGGCGCCGGCGCCGCCCGGGCUUGGCGUCGGGUUCCGGGGGGCAGGAGCGGCCGCGGUGCUCCGGGGGUCGCAGACGGCCGGGCGUCGGGUCUCCUGGACGCGCGGGUACCCCUCGUGGCCGCUCACUGCCGCGGGGAAGUGAGGGCAGGGCCUCAGGACCGUGCUGCAGGACCUUGUGUCCACUGCCAGGACGGAAGCCGAAGUGUAGGGUCCGGUCGGGGAGAAGAGGAGCGGCCCCUCCUUCUAGUGGCAGCUGUCAGUCUCCUGAUAGUGCAGCUCAGAUUUUGUCUUCGCAGCCUUGGAAUCUGAAGGCAGUCAGAACAAAGCUCUUUUUCUGCAGUUAGGUGAGAAAAGUCCCUAGUGCUGGAAGAGAAACGAACCUGGCCCAGGACCCCUGCCCUUACCUUCUGUCUGCCUUGGAGUCCCAGAUGCCGGUGAAAGCUGCGCUUCUUCCCAGUGAGAGGCUGGACCGGGCCUGUCUUAGUGCUUCCUGUGCCAGGAGGCUGUGCUGCCUUGACCUUGCCAGCCCCCAGCCCCAUAGUUUGGGGCCCAGGAUACUCAUCUCCUUGUGAACAUUCUAGAAAAGGAAGUGACCACAUAGCCCAACCCCUGUCUGGGAUGCUUUUUGCUCAUUCGGCACAGAAGACAGUUGUGACUCUUUGGCUGGCUGGUGGCUGCACCAGACCUAAAAGGAGUCAGGAAGGACCUGGGCUGUGCUUCACCUGGGGAUCCUGUAGGAGUAGAAGACAAAUCUCUUCCCUGUCCUAAGUGCUGAGCAACUGGUUUACCCUGCAUGACUAGCAGAACUGGGACCAGCCUGGAUCCAGACUCAUCUGAGGCUUCCUGUGCCACUCACCCAUGUUGACAACCUCUGGAAAGCAAGCAGCCUCCUGUGGCCACACCUUUCCAGGGUUGGGCCUAUGCCCAGAGCCAGAUCCCCAAGAUCUGGAAGGGGCCAGGAGACAGCUGGUGCUGGAUAGGUAGCAACCCAGGCCUGCAGGAUGAGUGAGUGACCAGCAUUGCUUCUCUUUUAGCUAGAGGUGGCAUCAGGACAAUUCCGGUCUGCUCGCAUUUUACAAUUUAUGCCCCAUGGUCCUGUCCACUGUCCCAGAGUGCAGAGGUGUGCCCUCAGCUGAUUUGGAGAGCUUCCUCCUCUCCUUCCUGGGUCACCCCCAUCCCUGACUCUGGCUCCUGGGGUAACAGGAGGGGUUGGAAGCUGCGUGGAGUGAUGUUAAGAAGGGGUAUGGAGGCUGCUGGUUCUUGUUCCCAAAUCUAUGGGCUCUGGACUGAGAUGUUUAUUUAGUACUGCACUGAAGGUACAACCCUUUUUGUCAUACAUGGCACAGCUGCUGUCACCUCUGCCCACAAGAACACUGGUUUCAGUUGUUUGGUUUCUGGCAGCUAAGUCACCUGGGGAGUUUGACCUCUUCCCAGCUCCAAGGUCAGAAGUUCAGAAAGUACCAUGUGCCCCAGGUUGGCAAUAAGGCACAAGUAGUCUGGGGGCUGCCAGGGAGGUCUCUCCCCGGUCCACAGAAGACACAAGGGCAUACAUCCUCUCCUGCCCACAGAUGCCAGCUCAUGUGGAUGGAGUGCCAGGAACUGUCACAGUAGCUGGCAACCACACAGAGCUGAGCCGGAGGGCAAAGAGCAUGCUGCUGAAGACCUGGAGCAGAAAGGACGAGCUGGCCGCUGGCAGUUCUGCUGAGCCCUGGGCUGAUCAGGGCCAGAGUUAUCUCACCUGGGCUCCUGGGCAUGUGGUACCAUUGAUUCAGUCUUACUGUUGGAGUGACUUUGAGUUGCAGUUUUCACUGUAGCAAAACAGACUUGCAGGCCUUCUGUAUUAACUACAUACAACUGCCUAACAAGUUACCCCAGUUCUUAGUGGCUUAGAACUGCCAACAUUAUCACAGCUUCUGUCGGGAAUUUGGUAAUAUAAAUAGUUCUGGCUCAGGAUCUCUCAGGAAGAAAAUCAAAUGUCAGGCCAGAGCUGACCUCCUCUGAGGGAGGGCAUGGCUACAGCUGGAGGGUCCAUUCCAGAGUCACCUGAAGCCCUGCUUCCCCACCAUCUGGAUGCCCAGGAGGCUUCUGGAGCGUCCUUACAACAUGGCCUCCAGUUCUUCCAGAGCAGAUAAUCCAAUAGAAAGGGAAAGUGGAGGCUGAAGUGUGUUGUAUGGCCCAUCCCAGGUGGCAUAUUCCAUCCUUCCCACGUGGCAUCAUUGGAAGCAAGUCACCAAGUCCAGGCCAAGCUAGGAGAGGAGCAUUGCUAUUGGUGGCAGUCCUUUAAGACCCCUGCAUGCCCAAGGAAUGAGAUGAGGGGGUGGCAUGUGUAGAGGACCACUGCAGCCGCAUCCUCCAGGGAGGGCCUGUCUACUAGGCCCAGGGCUCUUAUGUGGUCCAGAGGUGAGAAAUGGGACUUGAGGAUGAAGGGAGACUGCAUGUUUGCAUUUAAAAAGCUCUCUCACUGCUGUGUGCUCAAAGCAGCCCCAGUCUAGGGCAGCAGGGAAGGUAAGGUAGUUGUGGUGGCACAUGACUGUAAUCCCAGUUGCCGUCUGCGUCCAGCAGAGAUGGCUCAUUUAAGGUCACUCGGGAAAUUCUCCAGGCGUUAGAAAUAAAACACAAACACACAAUUUACCUUUAAACCAAGCACUGGGAGGGCUCCUCUGCCCAUGGCCUCAAGCUCUGCAAACUGGAGAGUGAGGAACUACACCGAGGCUGGGGAGAGGGAGAGCGCGAGCCAGAGCGCAGGUUUUGGAGUGAGCUUUUCUUAGGGGAAUCUAAAUUCUUAGGAAAUCCCAUCCAGUGAAGGUCAAGGGGGGCGGGGUUACAGGGACAGGUGGGGUGAUUGGAUCCCUGGGGACGUGGAGUUCUGCAAGAAGACACAGUUGCUUGCACCCUAGAAGAAAGGGCUCUCCAGCAGUGUGACCGCUGGGUGCCAUGUGGGAUACCACACCUUUCAGCAGGGGAGUCAGGUGCUAGACUGGCCUCCCACACCCAGUGACUUGGAAGCUGAGACAGAAGGACGGCAAGUUUGAGGCCAGCCUGAGCAGUUUAGUGAGGGCCUGUCUCAAAAAAUAAAAAGGACUAGGAGGUAGCUCAGUGGUGAAGCUCCCCUGGGUUCAAUCAGAAGUAUCCAAGAAGAACAAAAGGCGCUUAGUGACUCAUCAUUACAAGGUGGGACUGCAGGUGCUCUAGGUGGUGGCACCACAGGAUUGGAAGAGAUUGACUUUGGACCCCAUCAGAUCAGUAAGCCAGCGGGACAAAGAACAGUGGAGAAUGCACACAGCUUUGUCUUCAGGGUAGUUCAGGCCCGUGACCAAUGAAGACCUGCAGCCCGUGUUGGCCACCUGCUGGGGACCAGGCCUGCUGUCAUGUCCCUGCAGGGCCAGUUUUCACUGUGCACAUCCUGCCCCUUCAAGCCUGAAAAGUGACAGGAGCCUGGCACCUGCCCCAGUGGGCCUAAAAGGGACCCCAGGCAGCAGCCCAGGCUCCAGAAUCUCCAGUGUUGUUAAGCAAAGAUCCCCUGGACCUGCCCAGCUAGAGUCCUGGCCCUUCCUGGAGCCUCCGCUUCCUCAUCUAUAGUCCAUGGUAGUGCCUGUUCGACGGUCUUGAGGAUACAAAUCAGGCAGCCAGUCCUGGGCCAUAGGGAGUGGUCAGCAAAGGUACUGUUCUUGGGCCUCCAGGAGUGGUCAGUGGCAUUCACAGUCCUGGUCCUUGAAGGACAGUUAGCAACAGUUAUGGUCCUGGGCUUUGAGGGGGUUGCCAGUGACCCAAGCAUGGAUCUCCUGGGAAAUUUCUCAGAUUGAUACAGUGGGGGUGGGGUCCUGGAAGCUUGGGUUUCUCCCCUUUCCCACACAAACACACAAUUUACCUUUAAACCAAGCACUAAAGGUUCUAGUUAGAGGAAUCCUUCCAGGCAGGACUAGAACAGGAACCAGCUUUGGUCUUUCCUGGCCCAUAGUUGGCUUUCUAAGGAUAGUGAAGAGGGUUUACCUGGGCGAAUACAAAUACCAAAGACUUGAAGGGACGAGCUGCCUUUGGAAUGUUGAGUGUCGUUUGUGUGAUCCUUACGCAUCCCAGAGGUCGGCAUUCCUGUCCUGUUUUAUGAGUGAAGAACUCAAGCUUCAGAGGCGGCAGGCCAUGGCCGAGGACCAUACAGGAGGAAAGACCAGCAUCUCUGGAGGGGCCAGCUGUGCUUCACACCAGGCUGGCCUAGUUCACUCUGCUCACCACAGCAGAGCAGGGGCUCUUUCUUGGUGAUAUUUUAGAUUAAGCCUUGGUUUUUUUCCCAUUACAAAAACAAUACAUGGUUCUUAUAGGAUUUUUUUUUUAACCUAUUAUCCCAAGGUGUGUUCUUAAACCUUAUAAGUAUUAUGUAGAUAGUCUCCAAAGUUGGCUUCCGUCCUUAGAGGUGAGCAUAUUUUAGAUGUGGGCUGUUGCCAGUAUCACGGUUGUUGAAUCCACUUGAGAGACUGUGAGGUUUUUGUUUGUUCAUUCAUUUUGAACAAAGAGUGCUCUCUAGGUGGCAGUGGUCUGAACACUCUGCCUUGGCCAGCAAGAGCUCUCAGGUCCUGUGCUGAGCCUAGUGGCUCUGGCCACACCCUUACCACGCUCCACACAUAACUGAGGAUGUCCCUGCCCAGCCCCACACUUGGCUAUGAUUCCCCUUCUCUUGGGAUUCUGUUCUCCCAGUGUCUGACCAAGUGAUUAUUCAUGGAGAAAGAGGGUGGGAGGAUAGUCUUUGCAGCUGACAUCAUAUUCCUCUUAGUACAAACAGCCUUUGUUAGGGAAACCUCCAUGGGUACUUGGGUAGGUAGGCUUCUGAGGGCAUGGCUCCACCUGGAUGAGUGGGAUGGGCUGAUGGGGAAAGCAGAGAGAUGAGAAUCAGAGGAGGAAGGAGGAGAAACCAGCUACAGAAAAGGGAGGCUGAAGACUUGGUGGGAGGAAGGACUCUUGGUAAGGCCCCUAGUAUGACAAGAGGAACAAAUGGUUGAGGAUUAGGAUGCCUUGAUCAAAUUUAACUUCUUUGUGUAGUUUUAUUUUUUACUUCUUGACCCCCAAAUCUUAAGUAGUUUCUAGUACUUUUUUUUCUUAAAAAAAAAAAUCACUUCACUCUGUCUUGAUAUUCCAGGCUAUGAAUUUCCUCUUCAUUGUGACUAUUCUACAGAAUUUUCAUUUUAUUUCUCUUAAUAAUUAACUUUUUAAAAAUUCUAAGGUAUUUGGCUGUUUUUUCAUUACUACCUGUUCUUGUUUCACAAAGACCUAGUCCUGUUGUAUAGUUUAUUUUACAUGCAUGCAGACACACAGAUACACGCACCAUUUGUCCGAUUCUUUAAUGUGUCCUAAAGCCCUCUUCUGAUCAUUCUUCAAUUCUGUUUGGUCUAAAUUUGGUUGGCUGAGCAUGUUGUCCUUUUCCACAUGUUUAUUAACCCAAGUGAGUUAUUCUCAGUUGUGUCUGAUCUUUGUGCUAGAUGUUCCCACUAUUCUGUCCAAAACCUCUGGACUUAAGAAGCAAAUACCACCAGUAAGUUUUAAUAAGAGUAGGGAAAGGAAGAGAAGCACUAAGGACAAGUCUAACUUCAUAAGACAUUAUCUGAGACUCGGAAAACUUCACCUGAACUCUAAGGACUGGAGAGCCUCCAGGCAAUAGGGACUGAACAUGCAAAUCCACCCACCUCCUCACACGGUUGCCUCAGGCUUCAGCCCUCCAGCUGGCUUCUGGAGGCCAGUCUCUUGCACUAAGGCCCCGUCCCCUUUUCAGUAACAUCCUGGUUCCUU
rnacentral:lncRNA from 1 species